rnacentral:rRNA from 1 species
ACACUGUACGAGUUUGAUCCUGGCUCUAGAGCGAACGCUAGCGGCGAGCUUAACACAUGCAAGUCGAGCGGAGGGUUUCGGCCCUCAGCGGCGGACGGGUGAGUAACACGUAGGUUACGUGCCCUUUGGUGGGGAAUAACUUAGGGAAACCUGAGCUAAUACCGCAUAUGCCCUUCGGGGUGAAAGUCUUCGGACGCCAGAGGAUCGGCCCUGCGGCCCAUUAUUUAAUCCUUGUUGGUGGGGUAACGGCCUACCAAGGGUACGAUGGGUAGCUGGUCUGAGAGGAUGAUCAGCCACACUGGGACUGAGACACGGCCCAGACUCCUACGGGAGGCAGCAGUGGGGAAUAUUGGACAAUGGGGGAAACCCUGAUCCAGCUACGCCGCGUGGGUGAUGAAGGCCUUCGGGUUGUAAAGCCCUGUCGAGGGGGACGAAGUUCUGACGGUACCCCUCAAGAAAGCACCGGCUAACUCCGUG